ensembl:lncRNA
AUAGGGGUGAAGGUGAAAAGAGGAGACAGGUGGGAGAGAAAACAGCGGGGGGGGGGGGGAGGGUAGGAGAGGGGACGGGUGUGACUAAUUGUCACAGAAGGCCCCCCCUCCUCAAAUCCCUUCUUAGGAAAUGUCCUCAGUUUCACCSACUACGACAUCCCUCUAAAAUAGCACUAGAGGUGGGGCAGCUAUUGUCUUCAGGCCACUGUCCCUUUUCCAAUACCUCCUAAUCCCCACUCCUAUCGGGUUCCCUGGGGCCUGUCACCAGACAAAAGAAGACAGCUGUGUGAGGGGGCGGCCUGCAGCCUCGGUGCCAGGCUGGGGCCACACCUCCACACCAGGUCCCCCAGCCCUCCUCCCUGAGGCCCAGGCGCCCAGCCUCCGCUCCCGCCCCAGGCCCCGGUGCCCAGACCCAGCCUCUUCCUAGAGGACCCCGCUCCACUGGCCGCUUCCCUCUGGUCUUAGGUCACACCAGGAUGUCGGACACCGAAGAGCAGGAAUACGAGGAGGAGCAGGCGGAAGCCCCCGAGGAGCCGGAGCCGGUGGCAGAGCGAGGUAACGCGGCUGCUCCGCUUCCCGAGGCCGCGCGACGUCCUCGGCGCCUGCACCCGCCGCCCCUGCACCCCCAGCUCCGGCCCCGCAGCCCCAGCUCCCGCCCCGCAGCCCCAGCUCCCGCCCCGCAGCCCCAGCUCCCGCCCCGCAGCCCCAG